rnacentral:pre_miRNA from 14 species
AUCUUCCCAUAAGACUUUGAAAGAUCCCCGAAGGGAGACCCUUACUCAAGUCUUGGGAAGUCUCGGACCCCCGACACAGAGACCA